ACUCUCCAGAUUCCUUCCUCGUCAGAUGUCAGCACUGGGCUGAGUGGUAUACUAGGAGAAAAAGUCGAACUGAAACUGCCUGGAAUUCUUUUGUCACAUACAAGGCAGUUCCAAAUAAAC
rnacentral:snoRNA from 1 species